AGCAGUCGCCGCGGGAAUACGAAGGGUGCAAGCGUUAAUCGGAAUUACUUGGCGUAAAGCGUGCGCAGGCGGUUAUAUAAGUCAGAUGUGAAAUCCCCGGGCUCAACCUGGGAACUGCAUUUGAGACUGUAUGGCUAGAGUGUGUCAGAGGGGGGUAGAAUUCCACGUGUAGCAGUGAAAUGCGUAGAUAUGUGGAGGAAUACCGAUGGCGAAGGCAGCCCCCUGGGAUAACACUGACGCUCAUGCACGAAAGCGUGGGGAGCAAACAGGAUUAGAUACCCCUGUAGUCCCUGUCUCUUAUAU
rnacentral:rRNA from 1 species